GGCGCUAUAGUGUAGCGGUUAUCACUUGGGAUUCUGACUUCGUGAGUUCCCAAAACCCAGGUUCGAGCCCUGGUAGCGCCU
rnacentral:tRNA from 1 species